rnacentral:tRNA from 2 species
GGGUCGGUGUCCGAGUGGUUAAUGGAGGCGGACUGUAAAUCCGCUGGCUUUGCCUACGCUGGUUCAAAUCCAGCCCGGCCCA